rnacentral:rRNA from 1 species
AACGAACGCUGGCGCAUGCCUAACACAUGCCAGUCGAACGAGACCUUCGGGUCUAGUGGCGCACGGGUGCGUAACGCGUGGGAACCUGCCCUUAGGUUCGGAAUAACUCCCCGAAAGGGGUGCUAAUACCGGAUAAUGUCUUCGGACCAAAGAUUUAUCGCCUUUGGAUGGGCCCGCGUUGGAUUAGCUAAUUGGUAGGGUAAAAGCCUACCAAGGCGACGAUCCAUAGCUGGUCUGAGAGGAUGAUCAGCCACACUGGGACUGAGACACGGCCCAGACUCCUACGGGAGGCAGCAGUGGGGAAUAUUGGACAAUGGGCGAAAGCCUGAUCCAGCAAUGCCGCGUGAGUGAUGAAGGCCUUAGGGUUGUAAAGCUCUUUUACCCGGGAUGAUAAUGACAGUACCGGGAGAAUAAGCUCCGGCUAACUCCGUG